CCAAAUUCUAAUAUUUAAAUAUAUUUUUAUAUUUAUAAAGGGUGGGUUUAGGGUGGAGGUUGGUGUUGUGUUUCUCAAAUACAGAGGGUUGCAGAACCACCUCAGCCUCUGCAAGUCUUUCGCUUAACAUUUGCAGGGUUACCACGAUAAGAGUAAAAAGCCCGGUUCACACCGCAAGCGCUGUUCCUGUGGCUGGCAACUGUGGUCGAUACUGGGUGUUCCCACUACUACCGUCCAUCUGAAUAGAAACGGGGUGAAGUUCCGAGCUCUUUUUAAUGAAAUAUGAUAGAGAUAUGAAGUUUGGAUAAUUUUCUACGGCACACCUGACUGGGCUAUAGGGUAUAUGACAACUACCAUAAUCUGCCAUAUGGAAAUGUCGCCCUGGUUCAGUCUGUGGUUAGAGCAAGAGUCAACGUCAUUUCUGGUGAGCAUUCAGCCAAUCAGCAGCGAGGUGCUCUAUUAUCGUUGCAGACCUCUCUCUGGCUGUCAUUUAAACUCCAGCCAUCUUCAUGACUACAGCCAGGUAGGGCAAAACUGGAUAGUCACACACCUAUUAAAAUAUUUAAGGAGUUUUAUAAGUAUUAUAAUUUUGUCAUUCCGUAAUGUAAAUAGAAACAAAUUCUUUUUCACUUUUUUGAAUGUUUGGGCUAACUAUGGAAACUCACGUGAUAUGAUGCUAUAAUGUUUUCUGGAUAGUGUGCUUAUUUACCAUGUUUCUGAGAUGGCAGUUUUUUUUUUUUUUUUACUUUUCCACUAAAAAAUACUGGGUUAAUAUUGGACAGAGCACAUGCUGGGUUAUUUUGACCCAGAUGGUUGGGGUAAAUGUUUUAACUGUUUAAGACAAUCAACUAUUGUUUAAAAAUUAAUAUUUUGCUGGCUAAAAAUGGCUAAAAAGUCAUUUGUAUUCAUGUCCGGAUAUAGUGUUUUUCGUUUUGAUGACAUUUUUGGAUGUACAUGUGGGGGAGUGGAGUUAAUUUGUUGAUAUGAGUGCAAUAAUUCCAAAUCAAUGCUCAAAAGAUAAAAUAAAAUCUCUGUUGUUUUUGCUGCUAGUUCA
ensembl:lncRNA